rnacentral:rRNA from 1 species
UACAGAGGGUGCGAGCGUUAAUCGGAAUUACUGGGCGUAAAGCGCGCGUAGGCGGCUUUUCAAGUCGAUUGUGAAAUCCCCGGGCUUAACCUGGGAACUGCAGUCGAGACUGUCUAGCUAGAGUAUGGGAGAGGGAAGUGGAAUUUCAGGUGUAGCGGUGAAAUGCGUAGAUAUCUGAAGGAACAUCAGUGGCGAAAGCGACUUCCUGGACCAAUACUGACGCUCAUGUGCGAAAAGCGUGGGGGAGCGAACAGG